UACGGAGGAGGCAAGCGUUAUCCGGAAUUAUUGGGCGUAAAGCGUCCGCAGGUGGCACUUCAAGUCUGUCGUCAAAGACCGGGGCUUAACUUCGGAAAGGCAGUGGAAACUGAACAGCUAGAGUAUGGUAGGGGCAGAGGGAAUUCCUGGUGUAGCGGUGAAAUGCGUAGAUAUCAGGAGGAACACCGAUGGCGAAGGCAGGUCUCUGGGCCGCUACUGACGCUGAGAAGCGAAAGCAUGGGGAGCGAACAGG
rnacentral:rRNA from 1 species